UACGUAGGGUGCGAGCGUUAAUCGGAAUUACUGGGCGUAAAGCGUGCGCAGGCGGUUCGUUAAGUCAGCUGUGAAAGCCCCGGGCUCAACCUGGGAAUUGCGAUGGAGACUGCAAGGCUAGAAUCUGGCAGAGGGGGGUAGAAUUCCACGUGUAGCAGUGAAAUGCGUAGAGAUGUGGAGGAACACCGAUGGCGAAGGCAGCCCCCUGGGUCAAGAUUGACGCUCAUGCACGAAAGCGUGGGGAGCAAACAGG
rnacentral:rRNA from 1 species